AAGUUAGAAGUGUGUCUAACUCUCUCUCUCCUCCAACGGUUAUUUCAUUGUGUGUGUGAUUGAGCUAAUAUGAGCUGACAGAUAGUGCAAAAAUACAACAGCAGAAUACAGAGGAAUUCAUCAAAUCGUUUCUCUGACUUAUUUCCUUUCCUCUUCUCUGAUAUACUUUAUGAUAUUCUCUUCCAUACCUGCUAGGAUUCAAUUUCUCUAACAAAAAUUACCCCAAACCCUAGAAAUUACCCCAUCAUCUAGCCACUGCCACUACCUCGAAAUUUCACCGAAUUUCCAUCUCCCCAUCUUUCUCCUCUUGCUUCUCAUCUUCAAAAAGCCCCAAAUCGAGACCAGGUAUCUUUUGGGUGAUCUGCUCCAAGCAUAAGCUCCCUUCCAAGCCAGUGAACGCAACGCCCUUGAAUCAUAUAUUGUGUGAGUGAGAAUGCCAAUGUGAAGUUGGUUGGAUACAGAAACUUCUAUCUGUAAGCAUUGAGUCGAUUUGGGGUUUUCAAAGUGGUUGAACAGCAGACAGGGGAAACCAGGUUUGUUUGUUUGUUUCAAGUUGAACAGCAGAUUGGGGCUUCUGGGUUUUGAUAUUUGGUAUCAAAGCUUCCAAACUAGAACGGGUUCCAAUUACAAAUGGCCUUCCUAGAAUCCCUCUGUACAUGUUAAGAGACAACGUUAUCGUUUCUAGAGGUUUGAAGGAUAAAGAUGGAAAAGCAGGCGACAGUAGCAAUUUUGGAAUUGAAAUAUUAUGUGCAAUCCUAGGAGCAGAAUUUCCUGUGCAGAUCAGUCAACUUGACAGAAUAUACUGUACUUCCUCAGACUGAACCAGAUGUUGAGCAUUAUAUCGUUGGAAAGAUACGGAUGUUAGCUUUCUGUAUAAUUUUACAAUUCGUGAUUCGGACGUGUGUGGAGAGAGUUGUGGCUAUGUUAGUACAAACAGUUCAGGCAGAAUGUGUUCUGCGGGUUUAGCAAAAUAUUCCAUUUGAAGUCCAAUCCUUGGAGUCCAAUUUAUGUCAAUUGCAUUUGGAAAGUGUUUACAAGGAUGUGGAGUUAUUUUCUGAAGUCUGAUCCUUUAUCUAGUAGGAUUUUGGAUGCCAACUCAUUGAAAGACAAUUAAAGCCAAACUAGGAAAGUAUAGUUACCAAGUCAAAAGAGGAUUUGUUCCUUAUUUAAAGAAGACCAGAAAAUAGGGUUCUCUUAUGCUGGAAUUUAAAGAAGAGUCAAAGAGCCGCUGCCAUUGUCAAGUUCUCAAGUAUCGUCACAAUCCAUAAGUUUUAUUUUAUGUUUUCUAGUUUUUCAAUUAUGUUUUCUUUGAACAUGAGUAACUAAAUUAUUCUCUAGGGCGAGGAUGACGCCCGAGCAUGGAUAGUUAUGAUUUUUAAUGCUAUUUAAUGGAUUUUAAGUUUCUUUUA